GACGAACGCUGGCGGCGUGCUUAACACAUGCAAGUCGAACGGGCCUGUCUUCUUUUUUGGGGGGUGGGUUGAGUGGCGAACGGGUGAGUAUCACGUGAGUAACCUGCCCUUCGGUCCUGGAUAACCGCUUGAAAGGGCGGCUAAUACGGGGUGGUCCGGUUGGUCCGCAUGGGCUGGUCGGGAUAGAUUCACUGUUUUUGGUGUUUCGGCGGGGGAUGGGCUCGCGGCCUAUCCGCUUGUUGGUGGGGUGAUGGCCUACCAAGGCGGUGACGGGUAGCCGGCCUGAGAGGGUGGGCGGCCACACUGGGACUGAGAUACGGCCCAGACUCCUGCGGGAGGCAGCAGUGGGGGGUAUUGCACAAUGGGCGGAAGCCUGAUGCAGCGACGUCGCGUGAGGGAUGGAGGCCUUCGGGUUGUGAACCUCUGUUUCCGGUGGUGAAGGCCCUGUCCGUGUGGUGGGGUUGACGGUAGCCGGGGAUGAAGCGCCGGCUAACUACGUG
rnacentral:rRNA from 1 species